rnacentral:rRNA from 1 species
GACCGAACCGACUAAUGUUGAAAAAUUAGCGGAUGACUUGUGGCUGGGGGUGAAAGGCCAAUCAAACCGGGAGAUAGCUGGUUCUCCCCGAAAGCUAUUUAGGUAGCGCCUCGUGAAUUCAUCUCCGGGGGUAGAGCACUGUUUCGGCAAGGGGGUCAUCCCGACUUACCAACCCGAUGCAAACUGCGAAUACCGGAGAAUGUUAUCACGGGAGACACACGGCGGGUGCUAACGUCCGUCGUGAAGAGGGAAACAACCCAGACCGCCAGCUAAGGUCCCAAAGUCAUGGUUAAGUGGGAAACGAUGUGGGAAGGCCCAGACAGCCAGGAUGUUGGCUUAGAAGCAGCCAUCAUUUAAAGAAAGCGUAAUAGCUCACUGGUCGAGUCGGCCUGCGCGGAAGAUGUAACGGGGCUAAACCAUGCACCGAAGCUGCGGCAGCGACACUAUGUGUUGUUGGGUAGGGGAGCGUUCUGUAAGCCUGUGAAGGUGGCCUGUGAGGGUUGCUGGAGGUAUCAGAAGUGCGAAUGCUGACAUAAGUAACGAUAAAGCGGGUGAAAAGCCCGCUCGCCGGAAGACCAAGGGUUCCUGUCCAACGUUAAUCGGGGCAGGGUGAGUCGACCCCUAAGGCGAGGCCGAAAGGCGUAGUCGAUGGGAAACAGGUUAAUAUUCCUGUACUUGGUGUUACUGCGAAGGGGGGACGGAGAAGGCUAUGUUGGCCGGGCGACGGUUGUCCCGGUUUAAGCGUGUAGGCUGGUUUUCCAGGCAAAUCCGGAAAACCAAGGCUGAGGCGUGAUGACGAGGCACUACGGUGCUGAAGCGACAAAUGCCCUGCUUCCAGGAAAAGCCUCUAAGCAUCAGGUAACAUCAAAUCGUACCCCAAACCGACACAGGUGGUCAGGUAGAGAAUACCAAGGCGCUUGAGAGAACUCGGGUGAAGGAACUAGGCAAAAUGGUGCCGUAACUUCGGGAGAAGGCACGCUGAUAUGUAGGUGAAGCGACUUGCUCGUGGAGCUGAAAUCAGUCGAAGAUACCAGCUGGCUGCAACUGUUUAUUAAAAACACAGCACUGUGCAAACACGAAAGUGGACGUAUACGGUGUGACGCCUGCCCGGUGCCGGAAGGUUAAUUGAUGGGGUUAGCGGCAACGCGAAGCUCUUGAUCGAAGCCCCGGUAAACGGCGGCCGUAACUAUAACGGUCCUAAGGUAGCGAAAUUCCUUGUCGGGUAAGUUCCGACCUGCACGAAUGGCGUAAUGAUGGCCAGGCUGUCUCCACCCGAGACUCAGUGAAAUUGAACUCGCUGUGAAGAUGCAGUGUACCCGCGGCAAGACGGAAAGACCCCGUGAACCUUUACUAUAGCUUGACACUGAACAUUGAGCCUUGAUGUGUAGGAUAGGUGGGAGGCUUUGAAGUGUGGACGCCAGUCUGCAUGGAGCCGACCUUGAAAUACCACCCUUUAAUGUUUGAUGUUCUAACGUUGGCCCGUAAUCCGGGUUGCGGACAGUGUCUGGUGGGUAGUUUGACUGGGGCGGUCUCCUCCUAAAGAGUAACGGAGGAGCACGAAGGUUGGCUAAUCCUGGUCGGACAUCAGGAGGUUAGUGCAAUGGCAUAAGCCAGCUUGACUGCGAGCGUGACGGCGCGAGCAGGUGCGAAAGCAGGUCAUAGUGAUCCGGUGGUUCUGAAUGGAAGGGCCAUCGCUCAACGGAUAAAAGGUACUCCGGGGAUAACAGGCUGAUACCGCCCAAGAGUUCAUAUCGACGGCGGUGUUUGGCACCUCGAUGUCGGCUCAUCACAUCCUGGGGCUGAAGUAGGUCCCAAGGGUAUGGCUGUUCGCCAUUUAAAGUGGUACGCGAGCUGGGUUUAGAACGUCGUGAGACAGUUCGGUCCCUAUCUGCCGUGGGCGCUGGAGAACUGAGGGGGGCUGCUCCUAGUACGAGAGGACCGGAGUGGACGCAUCACUGGUGUUCGGGUUGUCAUGCCAAUGGCACUGCCCGGUAGCUAAAUGCGGAAGAGAUAAGUGCUGAAAGCAUCUAAGCACGAAACUUGCCCCGAGAUGAGUUCUCCCUGAGACUUAGAGUCUCCUGAAGGAACGUUGAAGACGACGACGUUGAUAGGCCGGGUGUGUAAGCGCAGCGAUGCGUUGAGCUAACCGGUACUAAUGAACCGUGAGGCUUAACCUU